GAGAGAUGGCUGAGUGGUUGAUAGCGCCGGUCUUG
rnacentral:tRNA from 1 species